UCCAUCGCAGCGAGAUGAAUACAUUCAGGAUCAAUACCAGUGAAAAAAGCUUUCAAAGCAGGCAGACUGUGAACGACAUUACUUGGAUAAAAUCACGUUUAUUCAUAACUAUUGUGUAUCUAUACAUCUACAAGAAGAAAGUAAAGCAGUAACUGUGAUAUGUUCUAUAUUAUAGCUUUUAUAGCAGUUAUUUAAUUGGAACUACUUAAGUCUAAGUGUAUGUUGAAACGUAAAGUUAUCACAUCUUAACAGUGGACAAAACAUGCAUAAAACACGGAGGUAUCUUGAAAUAGCCACCUAUCAUCUGCCGGACUGUCAUACAAACAAAAGUAACAAGUGCUGACGACAAACUUUAUAUUACUGGAUUAUAAAGUUUGUAUCUCGUGUCGACAGGAUCAUAAGGUUUAUUACGUCAAACGAUAUGGUUUAUAUUACUGGAUCAUAAGUCUAAUAGCUUCUGAUUGUGGUUUAUGACGGAUAACUGUCUCUCGGAUGGAUACAUAAAACAGGACUUCCAUUACAUAUCUGUCUUAAGUGACGGAUGUCAUAAUAUUCAUUUUAGACACUCACAUUUUGUAGUCGUUGAUGUUUUUCCAUAUUCCAAGAAAGGACUAUUAGAUAAGUAUUGUUCUGCGUUUGAAAAUGUCGAAGCCAUCUAUACACUUGUUCGUAAAUGCGAGCAAAAUGUCACAGUCAGAGUUACAAGUGAUAAAUUCCCUAAAUGGUACUAUCGUUGGAGUAGCUAGUAAGGAAGUUUACCGUGACAGUCAAUUAAAUGAGUUAUUAUAUGUUGUCAUAGUGAUAAUGUUCUACGCUAUGGCGCUAAUGGUGCUUAUUGCAACCCAGAUAAAGAAACAAGGGCGUGGUCAAGAGAUUGAAUAUUAUGACGAAUAUUUAGAAAGAAACGACAGAUUAAAGAAGAAAAAGAAAAUGUUGGCAACAAUAUCAACUGUACCGGAGGAAGAACAUUCACUAACAGCUGGAGAGAAAAGAGGCGUUCAGCUUGUUUAGUUGUUUUGUUGUUGCUUUUGUGAUAUUUAAACGUGCAAUCUGCAGUUGCUAAUGACUCUUUAGAAUUAAACUGAUAACUUGAUUCAAAUCAUAGUUGUAAUUUUAUAAAAGCAGUGAAAGAUUAUUGAUUUUGAGAUACAAAAGUAAUCGUCAAAUUGGAUUUCAUUUUAAUUUUUCAAGCAUCCAGUCUUCUAAUUAGACAUUUUAUUUACAGUCAAAUUGAAACAGGUUAGUAAUAAUAAAAGGAGAACGAUUUACGGGAAAGUUAAUAUGAAAAUGUUUGAAAUGGCAAUGACCAUAACGUAAGUUUCUAUUUUGAUUUUAUUAAUGGUCGUAAUUCUUAAACAACUUAAAUGUUAUCGCUGCGUCAAACUGGAAUAUGAACAAUCCUUGUUAAGGUAGUUUUGUAUUUUCAGGAAAAUUGCAUCAGUGCAAUUCUAAAACAACUGAAGACAAUCAGAGUUAUAUCAAUUAAAAUGUCACUGGCAAUAUGAUGGAAUAUAAACGUCGGAGAUGAACUUUGCGUGUGCCAAAAAGAAUUUCUGGGAAAGCAAUUUAAACGAACAAGAACAAAAGGCAACCGUUUGUUGAUAAUCUCAUAAUUAUAUUAGAAGAAUGCAUCAUUCAAUUUGAAUGCUGAACUUGAAAAAUAAAUCUUGACAACAUUGAUUCUUAAAAGAUUGACAUGCAUAAUCCAGUGAAACGGAAUGAUAUUUAACACACGUUACACAGUAAUUUUGUUAAGAAUAGGCAGAUGUUAUUUGGGGAAAAAUCGUAUGAGGAAACUCGUGGAAACAAUUCCUUUUGAUCAACGCCUACAGUGUUUGAUAGUCCCAUACCACAUUAAGGUUUGGGACAAAUUGAUUUACAGUCAGUUUUUCCAGAAAAUAAUAAUGAUUAAUAAAAACAAUGUAUACUUUA